ACGAACGCUGGCGGCGUGCUUAACACAUGCCAGUCGAACGCUGAAGCUCAGCUUUUGUUGGGUGGAUGAGUGGCGAACGGGUGAGUAACACGUGAGUAACCUGCCUCCUUCUUUGGGAUAACGCCCGGAAACGGGUGCUAAUACUGGAUAUUCACUGGUCUUCGCAUGGGGGUUGGUGGAAAGGGUUUUUCUGGUGGGGGAUGGGCUCGCGGCCUAUCAGCUUGUUGGUGGGGUGAUGGCCUACCAAGGCUUUGACGGGUAGCCGGCCUGAGAGGGUGACCGGUCACAUUGGGACUGAGAUACGGCCCAGACUCCUACGGGAGGCAGCAGUGGGGAAUAUUGCACAAUGGGCGCAAGCCUGAUGCAGCGACGCCGCGUGAGGGAUGGAGGCCUUCGGGUUGUGAACCUCUUUCGCUCAUGGUCAAGCCGCAACAAUGGUUGUGGUGAGGGUAGUGGGUAAAGAAGCGCCGGCUAACUACGUG
rnacentral:rRNA from 1 species